rnacentral:other from 1 species
UCAUCUCUGGGAUGUUCGCCAAUAGGUCUAUUCCCCUGAGCCGAUAUCAUCACUUACGGAUAUGGUCUGCAUAGUUUUGGUGUAUGUCUGCCUUGUGUAGAAAACCGAAAAAUUAUGCGUCGUGUCCACCUUGAACUUUAGGGUUCAAGGGUAAUGAUCUGUAGCGGCAUUCUGGAGUGCU